rnacentral:rRNA from 1 species
CGUACGGGUGAGUAACACGUGGAUCAUCUACCUCUUAGUGGGGAAUAACUCUGGGAAACCGGAGCUAAUACCGCAUAAGCCUGGAAAGGGAAAGCAGUAAUGCGCUGAGAGAGGAGUCCGCGGCCGAUUAGCUAGUUGGCAGGGUAAAAGCCUACCAAGGCAUUGAUCGGUAGCCGGCCUGAGAGGGCACACGGCCACACUGGCACUGAAACACGGGCCAG